rnacentral:tRNA from 1 species
CAGUUUAUAGUUUAACUACUAAAAUAAUGACUUUGGGUGUCAUUGAUCUUAUUCUAAGUAAACUGA